CGCACAUUGCGCCCCUCGGUACUCCGGGGGGCAUGCCUGUCCGAGCGUCAUUGAAGACUAUCAAGCCUGGCUUGGUCUUGGGCGAGGUCUGGGGACCCGUCCGCAACCCGUCGGCGGUGCCGUUCCGGUCCUGAGCGUAGCAGAAUACUCGCUCGGGGGCCGUGGCGGCGCCCGCCAGCACAUUCUACCCAUAUUUUGACCUCGGAUCAGGUAGGGAUACCCGCUGAACUUAA
rnacentral:misc_RNA from 1 species